UACGUAGGGUGCGAGCGUUGUCCGGAAUUAUUGGGCGUAAAGAGCUUGUAGGCGGUCUGUCGCGUCUGCUGUGAAAAUCCGGGGCUCAACCCCGGACUUGCAGUGGGUACGGGCAGACCAGAGUGUGGUAGGGGAGACUGGAAUUCCUGGUGUAGCGGUGAAAUGCGCAGAUAUCAGGAGGAACACCGAUGGCGAAGGCAGGUCUCUGGGCCACUACUGACGCUGAGAAGCGAAAGCAUGGGGAGCGAACAGG
rnacentral:rRNA from 1 species